UAGUACGGCUAGAACUCCACGG
rnacentral:miRNA from 2 species